rnacentral:rRNA from 1 species
ACUCAGUGAAAUUGAACUCGCUGUGAAGAUGCAGUGUACCCGCGGCAAGACGGAAAGACCCCGUGAACCUUUACUAUAGCUUGACACUGAACAUUGAGCCUUGAUGUGUAGGAUAGGUGGGAGGCUUAGAAGUGUGGACGCCAGUCUGCAUGGAGCCGACCUUGAAAUACCACCCUUUAAUGUUUGAUGUUCUAACGUGGACCCGUGAUCCGGGGUGCGGACAGUGUCUGGUGGGUAGUUUGACUGGGGCGGUCU